AACGCAUAUUGCACUCUCUGGUAUUCCGGAGAGUACACCUGUUCGAGCGCCAUAUCAAACCUCAAGUUCAACUUGGUGUUGGAAGAAAUCGUCUUCGAUUCUUCCGAAACUGAUAGGCGUCACCCAGGUAGUUUCGAGUGUAGCGAACUCACGUACGCACUUGGAAUGAUGGGGAGAUAUGUCUUGAAAAAGGAGUGAAUCCUUCUACUUUCAAGUUUGGCCUCGAAUCAGGUGGGGAUACCCGCUGAACUUAA
rnacentral:misc_RNA from 1 species